rnacentral:rRNA from 1 species
GGCAGCAGUAGGGAAUCUUCCGCAAUGGACGAAAGUCUGACGGAGCAACGCCGCGUGAGUGAUGAAGGCCUUCGGAUCGUAAAACUCUGUUGUUAGGGAAGAACAAGUAUCGGAGUAACUGACCGAAUACCUAUGACGGUCACUAACCAGCAAACCGACGGAAUACUACGUUCCAG